rnacentral:tRNA from 1 species
GAAAUAUUAAAAGUAAGCUUCUAACUUGCAAUAUUAGCAUUAAAUUGUUUAUAUUUCU